GGAGUCACCAUCAUUGUCCAGCAUACGUUUACCGACGUUCUUCAAUAUGGCACGAUUCAAUUCUACCUGUUGCAGUCAUGGAUGAAAUUCACAAAAACGUGGCUGGAGAAACUGGCAAUAUUGGAAUCAAAUAUGUGAAUAGGGGUAGUUUUUCAAUUUCCUUGACAUUCUCAUCUAUAACGGUAAUCUAUCAACCCUGGCGACUAAAAGGAACGGCUGAAGUAUGAUAUGGUACUAAUUAUGUAUUGAUACCCUGUUGUCAAUUCAACUAGUUAUAAAAUACUUUGCAAAUUGUAUGGUCUUGGUAUUUUUCAAGCGUGAUGUUCGUCAAGAUCAUUUGCAGGAUUUCAGUCUAAACUAAACCAGUGUUAUUCUACACAUCUACUGUUGUUGGUUGCAAGAUUAACAAAUUGAAGAAAAUCAUUUUGUAAUAGUAGAAACUGCACCAAUAAAUCUUCUAUGUUUUCUUGUCUAGUUCGACUGCCACUUGUUCUGGAGUAGUUUAUUUCCUGAAUAGAUUGAUGCUACAGUGGAGAUUACUUAACCAUAUACAUAUGUAUGUAUGUAAAUAUGCUGAUGGAAUGACUAAUUGACUUUAUCUUAUCUUCUACGUUCAACACGGCGCUAUUCACCUUCUCGCUUAUGUCCGCACUCACAUACAAGCAUCACACAUGUAUUUGCAACAAAAAAUGCGGGUGUCUACCUCACUAUGCUCUUCUCAACACAGAUGUAGAAUGACAUUGACGAUGAGUUGACAAAUCAAUUUAUCAAGCGACUCGUGUCGUAAA